UCCUGCAAUUGAAAUGGUAUAACAUAAAUUUACUGGUAUUUUGUCAUUGCGUUAUGCGUGUAUAAAUAAUCUAUAAAGAGAGAAUCCAAGAAUCGAUGAACGUCCCAUAAGAAAGUUGCGAUAGAUCGGAAGGAGUAGAUAGAUUGGAAAGAACGAUGACGAAGCAUCCACAUGAACACGAUAGAUUUGAUGCAACGAUCUCGAUGACUCAGGAUGUAUGUGUCAUGCGCUGAGAUAAUCUUUUAUUGAGCGUGACGUCGAAGAUGUUUAGAAACUUACUUUAUAAAACAUCUUGUCUGCGAAUCGUAACAGUUCAGCGGUAGCAUUCAUCCAACAAUGCAGGAGAAGAUAAAAACCGCAAA